AGAGCAUGUUAGAAGGACAUCUCCUGAUAUGUUGCUUGUAUCUUUCCCAAGCUUCAUAGAGGGAUUCACCAUCUUUCUAUCUGAAUGUCUGAAUUUCCACCCUGAUCUU